AGAAACUUUAUCCAUUGCAUGUGACAAAUAUAUAGGUGCAUCAAGUUUAAUAGAACACAAAGAAUUAUUAGGUGGAUCGUUCUCAAUCACUCCAUGUGUAAUUAACUCGACACAAUCUAAACCAAAUUUAUCUACAUCACAUGCUUCUCCCAAAACAUUAGUUAUUUCCUCACAUGAUUCAUUCUCAUCAACAUCAAAAUUAAUAUGUAAAAUCAAAUCAUUAGAAG
rnacentral:lncRNA from 1 species